UACCCUGUAUAUAGCCUCCACAUUGACUCUGUACUGGUACCCCCUGUAUAUAGCCUCCACAUUGACUCUGUACCGGUACCCCCUGUAUAUAGCCUCCACAUUGACUCUGUACCGGUACCCCCUGUAUAUAGCCUCCACAUUGACUCUUUACCAGUACCCCCUGUAUAUAGUCUCCACAUUGACUCUGUACCAGUACCCCCUGUAUAUAGUCUCCACAUUGACUCUGUACCGGUACCCCCUGUAUAUAGUCUCCACAUUGACUCUGUACCAGUACCCCCUGUAUAUAGCCUCCACAUUGACUCGGUACCGGUACCCCCUGUAUAUAGUCUCCACAUUGACUCUGUACCGGUACCCCCUGUAUAUAGCCUCCACAUUGACUCAGUACCGGUACCCCCUGUAUAUAGUCUCCACAUUGACUCAAUACCAGUACCCCCUGUAUAUAGCCUCCACAUUGACUCUGUACCGGUACCCCCUGUAUAUAGCCUCCACAUUGACUCUGUACCAGUACCCCCUGUAUAUAGCCUCCACAUUGACUCUGUACCGGUACCCCCUGUAUAUAGCCUCCACAUUGACUCUCUACCGGUACCCCCUGUAUAUAGCCUCCACAUUGACUCUGUACCGGUACCCCCUGUAUAUAGCCUCCACAUUGACUCUGUACCGGUACCCCCUGUAUAUAGCCUCCCCAUUGACUCUGUACCGGUACCCCCUGUAUAUAGCCUCCACAUUGACUCUGUACCAGUACCCCCUGUAUAUAGCCUCCACAUUGACUCUGUACCGGUACCCCUGUAUAUAGCCUCCACAUUGACUCUGUACCGGUACCCCCUGUAUAUAGCCUCCACAUUGACUCUGUACCAUAAUACCCUGUAUAUAGCCUCCACAUUGACUCUGUACCGGUACCCCCUGUAUAUAGCCUCCACAUUGACUCUGUACCGGUACCCCCUGUAUAUAGCCUCCACAUUGACUCUGUACCAUAAUACCCUGUAUAUAGCCUCCACAUUGACUCUGUACCGGUACCCCCUGUAUAUAGCCUCCACAUUGACUCUGUACCGGUACCCCCUGUAUAUAGCCUCCACAUUGACUCUGUACCGGUACCCCCUGUAUAUAGCUCCACAUUGA
rnacentral:lncRNA from 1 species